rnacentral:lncRNA from 1 species
UAGUUCAAUUGCAUUUAAAAAGAAUAAAAAUACUUGUUAUACUGGUCAUUUUGGCACAGAACUAGCGAUUCCUUUAAAGAAAAGAUGAAACAGCUGUUGCAUCAGAGAUAUAAAGGCAAUUAUCUCCGGUAGCACAUUAUGGGCGCCGAUACGGACAUUAGAAAUUGUGUAAUCAUCAUGGAAUAACAAUAUAAAUUCACUGAUUGAAUUUCUUAAUUAUUUCAGGGCACAUGUUGCGAUCGCGGAAUUUCAAACCGGUCAGUGCUUAAGUUUAGUAUACUGAGACUAACACCGGUUUAAGAUGUCCGUCUCCGAAAUUUGGCCCAAAAUGCUGCUCUACAUAGUUUCCGCCCUCAGUGCGGAAGGAAGGCUUUCCGGGAAAUAAAUGAUCAACAGAACACCGACUGACAUUUCGCUGCAAGUUUAUCUGAAAGCUAGUCACUGGAUUAUGGAUACCAGCUAUAUGUGAUCAAACACUGAGCCCUCAUUGGGUUCAAUUCGGCGAUUGCAACACGUGCCACAAUGCAAUU